rnacentral:rRNA from 1 species
AUGGCGUAACGACUUCUCAACUGUCUCAACCAUAGACUCGGCGAAAUUGCACUACGAGUAAAGAUGCUCGUUACGCGCGGCAGGACGAGAAGACCCCGGGACCUUCACUAUAGCUUGGUAUUGGCGUUUGGUUCGGUUUGUGUAGGAUAGGUGGGAGACUGUGAAGCAGGCACGCCAGUGUUUGUGGAGUCAUCGUUGAAAUACCACUCUGAUCGUAUUGAACCUCUAACCUCGGACCGUAUAUCCGGUCCAGGGACAGUGCCUGGUGGGUAGUUUAACUGGGGCGGUUGCCUCCCAAAAUGUAACGGAGGCGCCCAAAGGUUCCCUCAACCUGGACGGCAAUCAGGUGUUGAGUGCAAGUGCACAAGGGAGCUUGACUGCGAGACCUACAAGUCAAGCAGGGACGAAAGUCGGGACUAGUGAUCCGGCACCUCUGAGUGGAAGGGGUGUCGCUCAACGGAUAAAAGGUACCCCGGGGAUAACAGGCUGAUCUUCCCCAAGAGUCCAUAUCGACGGGAUGGUUUGGCACCUCGAUGUCGGCUCGUCGCAUCCUGGGGCUGGAGCAGGUCCCAAGGGUUGGGCUGUUCGCCCAUUAAAGCGGCACGCGAGCUGGGUUUAGAACGUCGUGAGACAGUUCGGUCUCUAUCCGCCGCGCGCGUCAGAAACUUGAGGAAACCUGUCCCUAGUACGAGAGGACCGGGACGGACGAACCUCUGGUGUACCAGUUGUUCCACCAGGAGCACGGCUGGAUAGCUACGUUCGGACAGGAUAACCGCUG